rnacentral:rRNA from 1 species
GGAGGCAGCAGUGGGGAAUAUUGCACAAUGGGGGAAACCCUGAUGCAGCAACGCCGCGUGAGUGAUGAAGGCCUUCGGGUUGUAAAGCUCUGUCUUUGGGGACGAUAAUGACGGUACCCAAGGAGGAAGCCACGGCUAACUACGUGCCAGCAGCCGCGGUAAU